AAAACUUUCAACAACGGAUCUCUUGGUUCUGGCAUCGAUGAAGAACGCAGCGAAAUGCGAUAAGUAAUGUGAAUUGCAGAAUUCAGUGAAUCAUCGAAUCUUUGAACGCACAUUGCGCCCCUCGGCAUUCCGGGGGGCAUGCCUGUUCGAGCGUCAUUA
rnacentral:rRNA from 7 species